GAUGAACGCUGGCGGCGUGCCUAAUACAUGCAAGUCGAGCGAACAGACGAGGAGCUUGCUCCUCUGACGUUAGCGGCGGACGGGUGAGUAACACGUGGAUAACCUACCUAUAAGACUGGGAUAACUUCGGGAAACCGGAGCUAAUACCGGAGAAUAUAUUGAACCGCAUGGUUCAAUAGUGAAAGACGGUUUUGCUGUCACUUAUAGAUGGAUCCGCGCCGCAUUAGCUAGUUGGUAAGGUAACGGCUUACCAAGGCAACGAUGCGUAGCCGACCUGAGAGGGUGGUCGGCCACACUGGAACUGAGACACGGUCCAGACUACUACGGGAGGCAGCAGUAGGGAAUCUGCCGCAAUGGGCGAAAGCCUGACGGAGCAACGCCGCGUGAGUGAUGAAGGUCUUCGGAUCGUAAAACUCUGUUAUUAGGGAAGAACAAAUGUGUAAGUAACUAUGCACGUCUUGACGGUACCUAAUCAGAAAGCCACGGCUAACUACGUG
rnacentral:rRNA from 1 species